rnacentral:rRNA from 1 species
CACUACAGCCAAUCACCCUGGGCCUGUGCUCUUGUCAGAUCGCAUAAACUAAAUGGGGUCAAGCCUGGUUAGUACUUGAUUGGGAAACCUCCAUGGAAAACAAGGGUGUUGAAGGAA